rnacentral:lncRNA from 1 species
UGAAAAACAACGACAAGGAGAAGGACAGGGAGAAAGCAUGAUAUGAGAUACUCUUGCUUUCAACCUUCAUGAUAUGAAAUACUUUUGCUUUUGAUGGGUUGUUUGCAGAGGUAUCCUAAGGAAUAAGGAACACUGAGCGACUCGAGAGGCUUUGUUGGGAAGGCAUUCUCGGAGAUGAAGAAGGGUUAUGUAUGUCUGCCUUGCAAUAGAAGGUGAAGGUCGACAUUUAUAUGAA